ACUGACGCUGAGAUGCGAAAGCGUGGGGAGCAAACAGGAUUAGAUACCCUGGUAGUCCACGCUGUAAACGAUGUCGAUUUGGAGUUUGGUGGCAUGACUGCUGGGCUCCGAAGCUAACGCGUUAAAUCGACCGCCUGGGGAGUACGGCCGCAAGGUUAAAACUCAAAUGAAUUGACGGGGGCCCGCACAAGCGGUGGAGCAUGUGGUUUAAUUCGAUGCAACGCGAAGAACCUUACCUGGUCUUGACAUCCACAGAAUUUUGUAGAGAUACGAAAGUGCCUUAGGGAGCUGUGAGACAGGUGCUGCAUGGCUGUCGUCAGCUCGUGUUGUGAAAUGUUGGGUUAAGUCCCGCAACGAGCGCAACCCUUAUCCUUUGUUGCCAUCGGUUAGGCCGGGAACUCAAAGGAGACUGCCGUUGAUAAAGCGGAGGAAGGUGGGGACGACGUCAAGUCAUCAUGGCCCUUACGACCAGGGCUACACACGUGCUACAAUGGCGCAUACAAAGAGAAGCAACCCAGCGAUGACAAGCGGCCCUCUUAAAGUGCGUCUAAGUUCGGAUUGGAGUCUGCAACUCGACUCCAUGAAGUCGGAAUCGCUAGUAAUCGUGAAUCAGAAUGUCACCGGUGAAUACGUUCCCGGGCUUGUACACACCGCCCGUCACACCAUGGGAGUGGGUUGCACCAGAAGUAGAUAG
rnacentral:rRNA from 1 species